rnacentral:lncRNA from 1 species
GAAAGACUGAAGAUAGAUUAUAGAACAAUAACAGCAUUGAAAGUAUAAGAAUAGUGUCCGACUUAAUCAAUGAAGAAAGUAGAACAUGGAAAAGAGAUUUGAUUGUCCGUACCUUCAAUACAGAUAUUGCUAGGAAAAUAUUGCAGAUUCCGCUUUCAAAGUCAACCAAUGAAGACUUCCAAGUGUGGAGAAGGGAGGCAACUGGAGACUUUUCAGUAAGGAGUGCCUAUAAACUAUUACAGGAGGCUAAUAUAGAUCCUAGUUUUUAUUUACAGACCAAUACUAAAAGUUUCUACAGGAAAUUGUGGAAUUUACACAUGCCCUCAAAAAUCAAAAUUACAGUGUCGAAAAUAGCGUGAAAUUACAUCCCCACUUUCUCCAAUCUGAAGCUGAGAAAAGUGAUGACUGAGGAUCGAUGUAUGAGAUGUGGCCAAGGAGAAGAAGAUAGCAACCACGUCUUCCAACUGUGCCCUACUGUAAAGGAAAUAUGGAGUCACUUAAAUUUUUCUCGGGUUUUCAGCCAAGGGACAAAUGAGCAGUGCAGAAUGUUUUGUUGUGGGCUCUGGCUAAUCUAGACAAAUAGAAAUAAAUUAUUAUACGAAGGCAAACCAAGCACCAAUUGGGACAUAUCCAAACAAAUUAAAAGCUAAAUUUUAGAAUUGGACGGUAUUCAAGACAGGGAACUCAACUUGGAAGCCAACGCGAGGCAUAGACAAAGUAUACAAAGGGUGAAUACAGCUAUCUUUUUCGAUGCAGCUUUUGACUCACAAAACUCUAGAUCUACGUCAGGCCUAGUAGUUAAAAAUGAGGGGGGCAGAAUCGUUGUAGCUAAAUCAAUUCUUCGUGACAACGUUGCAUCUUCAUUCGCAGCGGAAGCAUAUGCAAGAUUUCAAGCAACAAAUUUAGGGAUUCAUUUGGGCUAUCAUACUUUGGACAUAAUAACUGAUUCAAAAAUAGUGAUAACAAAAUGCCAAAAUGCAAAUCGAGACAGAUCAGAAAUAGGAGCAAUUAUCAGUGACAUUCAAAGCCUAAAGGCACACUUUCAAGAAAUCAAAUUCUACUUCAUCCCAAGGUUAGAAAAUACAAAAGCCCAUCGAUUAGCAAAAGAAACACUCAAGAAUGGAGAGGAACAGUACCUGGAGGGAGCGAUUUCAAGUUCGUCUGAAGGAGAAUUGGAGUAAAAUCGCUUGGGUUUUUCAGAGUAAAAGAAAAGGGGAAACAACUUUGGAUUUUGGCAUAGUGUUGUGACGUUUGAAAUGAAAGAAAUGGUGCCGAUUGAAAAGCAAACAGAUAAGCAAAAGAUUUUAGGGGAUUUGCUUUUACUUUUCAGUGGUCUUGGGCAGAGGAAAUGUCAGAUUCAUUAAUGAAGGCCAGUUAAACCGUUCGACUAGAGUGAAGUUUGAAAAUUUAUUUCUUUUCUUUCUAUUAUUGUUUUUUGAUUUAUUUUAUGGGCUAAAUUGAAGAUGGCC